AUUGUCUUUUACAUUCCAGCCUGUUCCCUCAUCUGUUCUCAGCUUUAGAAAUGCUACAUCCUGGAGCUGUGCACCCAAACAGGCUUAGUCUGUAUGUAUUGCUUGAGUGCCUGGAAUGCACACCUGGGACCUCUCCACUGUCGCCCACUGUUUAGAAAAGAAAACACAGUUUUCAAGGAGAAAUAUGGUAAGUAAAGCACUCUGCUAAUGUAACAAAGAAGCCAUGAACUUCUAAACACAGGACAGGUGUCAGCUGAUGCACUCUCCUGCAGCAGCACUCACUGCCUUGUUGAACUCACUUCAGAUACCUCCUCUAAACUUUAUCUCCAUUUUCUCAAUGGAAAUACCCUCCCCUUUCUGUGUUGGGGAAAGACUUGGUGUAUUUCGAUGGUAGUACCCGUAAAGUCAAGAAUUGCUAACAGGAUAGUUGAAUCACAUACUACAGCCUCUUUUAGGAGUGGCAUUGAUCUCUCCUUGCCUUCACAGUGCCAGUGGAGGAAGUCUUUUCCCCAGGUCACAAGCCAGGGUCUCAGAAGGACUCUCAGAUUGUGCAUUCCUGCUGUUCCCCAGGCUGAGAGGACAAAACAGGUGAGCACUUGGGCCUCUCACUAGGUGGCUGAUAAUCAGAUAAAAACCCUAAAGGACAACUGUCAAAAGGAGAGCAAGAGAAAAGGAUUCUUUCCUGAGCAUAAUUCCUUCUCUCAGAACUGGAGCUGUCCUUUCCUGCUUAUCUGUGUAAAUGACAGAAAGGAAAAACGAAGACAAAACAAAACCAACAGAAAACCCCCAAAACCCCAACUCUGUUUACACUGAGCCAAAUCACCAAAAAGAAUUAGAACCCCUCGCCCAUGGCACUGCUUGUGAAGUGCCAGGAAUAGUGCUUACCCUAGUGGCCUGAAGUAAUCAGGCAUCUUGCUCAGCAUCCCUUUCUGCACUGGGGAUUGAUUUAGGCCACUGGGAAAAUGAGGACCCAGGGCUUUGCAGCUGAGCCACAACUCUUUUUCUCAGUCACAGGAAACACUGGCAUUGGGGGCUCACACAGCAUCAAGUCCCACUUGUUCUGAGGGUUUGGUCCGAUAGGAAAAGAAGAGCUGCUCAAACUGAUAUUUCUUUUCUUUGUCUUUCAAGUGGUGUUCUUCCCAGAGGCAGCACUUGUGCUUUGUCUUUUUGUUGGGUUUUGUUUUGGGACCUACUUCUAGUGUUAGGAUCCCAGUGUUCUUUAAGAGUUUUUUUUUUUUUUUUUUUUCCCUUGAAGUAUUUGUCUUCCUCCCCAAUUCUCUAAAACUGAGGGCUUUCAAGGAGUACACUAGACAUCACAAUUUUCUGGCUUCUGCAAAAGCUACCUAGUCAUUCAUGGUACAGGGAAAGUAAUGGUAAAGUCUGCAUUUACCAUCUGGGCGGGGUAUGGAGGUUUGUGUAGGAUAACACACAGCUCUUCUGCCUAACCUUCCUUAGAAAGAACCUUAAGUAAAAUUGAGAACCGUGCAGUAAAUACGAGCUGUUUAAUUUCAACAAAACUUAAUUCUAGCCUAACUGCGACUGACUCCUACGGGAGAAAGUUAGUAAUGAACUUUUACUGGCUCCUGAACAGUUUUUCAACCAAUGAAGAGCAUGAGCCCAUAUUUCUAUUUACCUCAUGCUACCACAAAGAGAUGCCUCCUCAUCCCAUAGCCGUGUAUAUAAACGUAAAGAUUGAGGUUUGGUGGCCAUGCUAGGAGAGCAGAGGGCAGAGCAAGAGGUGCAGAGCAAGUAGAUCCUGGCAGUGGAAUACUGUUGUAAUUUCAGAGUCAGGGUUAGUAAUGUCCUUAUGUUCCCUCUCUCUCUGAACCUUUGCCCUGGAUAAGGGGGAGUUGAAUUUAGCUUUAAGACUGGAUUAGUAAGAAGAGAAUGUGAAUGUUGGUGUGACAGGUGGAAUGGGGGAGGUCAGUAAAGCCCAGGGGCCAACAAUUAGCAGCUUCUUUUCCUUUGUACACAAAACCCAGCCAUUACUAGUUUCUCUUCUAAAACAUUUUUUAUAAUAAACAGUAAGCUGGUGCAGUGUAUGUCCAGUUCAUAUGUUGGUAAGGAUGUUUUGCUUACAAUUUAAUGAUGUUAUUUUUUAGUGAUAUGAUUCUAUUAGAAUUACUGAGAGUUUUAAUAAAAAGUUUAUAGAUG
rnacentral:lncRNA from 1 species